AAGAGACAGCAGCCGCCGCGGUAAAACGGAGGGUGCAAGCGUUAAUCGGAAUUACUGGGCGUAAAGCGCACGCAGGCGGUUUGUUAAGUCAGAUGUGAAAUCCCCGAGCUUAACUUGGGAACUGCAUUUGAAACUGGCAAGCUAGAGUCUUGUAGAGGGGGGUAGAAUUCCAGGUGUAGCGGUGAAAUGCGUAGAGAUCUGGAGGAAUACCGGUGGCGAAGGCGGCCCCCUGGACAAAGACUGACGCUCAGGUGCGAAAGCGUGGGGAGCAAACAGGAUUAGAGACCCGCGUAGUCCCUGUCUCUUAUAC
rnacentral:rRNA from 1 species